rnacentral:rRNA from 1 species
CAGUAGCCGCGGGAAUACGGAGGAUCCAAGCGUUAUCCGGAAUCAUUGGGUUUAAAGGGUCCGUAGGCGGUCUUGUAAGUCAGUGGUGAAAGCCCAUCGCUCAACGGUGGAACGGCCAUUGAUACUGCAGGACUUGAAUUAUUGGGAAGUAACUAGAAUAUGUAGUGUAGCGGUGAAAUGCUUAGAGAUUACAUGGAAUACCAAUUGCGAAGGCAGGUUACUACCAAUUGAUUGACGCUGAUGGACGAAAGCGUGGGUAGCGAACAGGAUUAGAUACCCGUGUAGUCCCUGUCUCUUAUAC